rnacentral:rRNA from 1 species
CCUACGGUAGGCAGCAGUAAGGGAUAUUGGUCAAUGGGGGAAACCCUGAACCAGCAACGCCGCGUGAGGUAAGACGGUUUUCGUAUUGUAAACCUCUGUCCUCUGUGAAGAUGAUUACGGUAGCAGCGGAUGACUCUCCGGCUCCCUCCGUGCCAUCCUCCGCGGUACUACGUAGGGAGCGAGCGUUGUCCGGAUUUACUGGGUGUACAGGGUGCGUAGGCGGCUUGGCAAGUCAGUAGUGAAAUCCAUGGGCUUAACCCAUGAACUGCUAUUGAAACUGUCGAGCUUGAGUGAAGUAGAGGUAGGCGGAAUUCCCGGUGUAGCGGUGAAAUGCGUAGAGAUCGGGAGGAACACCAGUGGCGAAGGCGGCCUACUGGGCUGUAACUGACGCUGAGGCACGAAAGCGUGGGUAGCAAACAGGAUUAGAUACCCCUGUAGUC